rnacentral:rRNA from 1 species
CAGAGGAGCCAAGCGUUGUCCGGAAUAACUGGGCGUAAAGCGCACGCAGGCGGUUCGGUGCGUGGGGUGUGAAAACUGGCGGCUUAACCGCCAGAGGCCACCUCAUACGGCCGAGCUCGAGCUCUGCAGAGGUCCAUGGAAUUGCCGGUGUAGUGGUGAAAUGCGUAGAGAUCGGCAGGAACACCCAGGGGGAAACCAGUGGACUGGGCAGCAGCUGACGCUGAUGUGCGAAAGCGUGGGGAGCGAACCGGAUUAGAUACCCGGGUAGUCCACGCCGUAAACGAUGAAUACUCGGCAUUUGGUGGGCGAUUCUCGUCUGCCGGGUGCCCCAGCUAACGCGGUAAGUAUUCCGCCUGGGAACUACGAGCGCAAGCUUA